rnacentral:rRNA from 1 species
UACGUAGGGCGCAAGCGUUAUCCGGAAUUAUUGGGCGUAAAGAGCUCGUAGGCGGUUUGUCGCGUCUGCCGUGAAAGUCCGGGGCUCAACUCCGGAUCUGCGGUGGGUACGGGCAGACUAGAGUGAUGUAGGGGAGACUGGAAUUCCUGGUGUAGCGGUGAAAUGCGCAGAUAUCGGGAAGAACACCCGUGGCGAAGGCGGUUCUCUGGGCCUUACCUGACGCUGAGGAGCGAAAGCGUGGGGAGCAAACAGG